ensembl:snRNA U6 U6 spliceosomal RNA
GUGCUCGUUUUGGCAGCACAUAUACUAAAGUUGGAAUGAUACAGAGAAGAUUAGCAUGGCCCCUGUGCAAGGAUGACAUGCAAAUUCGUGAAGCAUUCCAUAUUUUU